rnacentral:lncRNA from 1 species
CGUUGCUGUGCCGUCAAGGUGAACCCGGCGCAGUUAUAAACUUUCCCGGCUUUUGUGAGCAUUGCUUUGGCACUGAAAAUAUUUCAUUUCUACAUUUGCUUCUCUAACUGGCUUCCUACCGCCUUGGUUGUUUUUUUGGAUAGAUUUGCUUAGUUCCCAGCUGUUGCUCCGGUUCACUUUGUUGCUCGCUGCCCUGCGCUCCCUGGGUGACGACUUUCUGGUCGGUACGGGCGCUGCCGCAAAAAAAAAAAAGAUGGACAGAAAAUAAGAGCCUGAAGAGCGGUGAUGAAAAUGAUUAGCGUCACRGCGAGCCAAGAAUAGGAUUGCUGAGAAAGCAGGCGCACAGCUUGAGCCAAACCGCUCGAGGUUUCAUUCUAGUAGUGAGAGGAGUUUGUGCUGGCAAACACAKGUGAGAGCAAAACAAAUACCAGCUACAGAAACUAGCCAGUGUCCUGCUGUUGUUCCACRUGCUUCUGAAAACCCGGAGCCUCUCCAGCCUUUCCCGUCUCAGCUCCUUUCUGGCUUAGCAUGGAUGCCGUAUGGAGCAGAUGUCCGGACUUGAGCCUACCGGCAAGUAGCAUCCGCRAGAUAAGCUACGGCCCGGCUUGUUUGCCGUAACUCUGGCGCAGGUCACGGCAGCGCGAGGCCUUGGCCCGUCCCUGCCGCGGAGGAGCUGUGCGCUGCUCCCUCUUCCCGGGCUGUUCCCAGYGCGGGAAUAUCCUGCCAACGCGGGACCCUCCGGCUGGAGCACUGCACUCCCCAGCCUCCGCUGCGGACCGGCGCCUUUGCCGCCAGCCGCCUCCCCCUGCUUGGAAGCACCUUCAACGCUGCAAGUGACUUCCUUUAAAGACUGCCAACUAUAUUAGUAAAUAAACUGAACUCUAAUGAUGUAACCA